CUCAACGGAUAAAAGCUACCCUGGGGAUAACAGGCUUAUCUCCCCCAAGAGUUCACAUCGACGGGGAGGUUUGGCACCUCGAUGUCGGCUCAUCGCAUCCUGGGGCUGUAGUCGGUCCCAAGGGUUGGGCUGUUCGCCCAUUAAAGCGGUACGCGAGCUGGGUUCAGAACGUCGUGAGACAGUUCGGUCCCUAUCCGUCGCGGGCGUAGGAAAUUUGAGAGGAUCUGUCCUUAGUACGAGAGGACCGGGAUGGACAUACCGCUGGUGUACCAGUUGUUCCGCCAGGAGCAUCGCUGGGUAGCUAAGUAUGGAUGAGAUAAACGCUGAAAGCAUCUAAGUGCGAAACUCACCUCGAGAUAAGAUUUCCCAUUACGUAAGUAAGUAAGAUCCCUGAAAGAUGAUCAGGUAGAUAGGAUGGAAGUGGAAGUGCUGUGAGGCAUGGAGCGGACCAUUACUAAUCGAUCGAGGACUUAACCAAG
rnacentral:rRNA from 2 species